CCGGCCCAGCCCGCUAUGAGUGAGGCGUGUUCCCAGGGCCCGUACAACAUGGAACAGCUGCGGCGCUGAAGCGUGUAGCUACUUGGGAUUUGAGAAAUGGAUUCCACAUUAAUUUAAAUGCCUGUUUUCCUUUGCAUAUAGUAAAAAGUCUUCCCUAGAAGACUGGUCACACAGA